UACGGGAGGCAGCAGUGGGGAAUAUUGCACAAUGGGCGCAAGCCUGAUGCAGCGACGCCGCGUGGGGGAUGAAGGCCUUCGGGUUGUAAACUCCUUUCGCUAGGGACGAAGCAUUUUUGUGACGGUACCUGGAGAAGAAGCACCGGCUAACUACGUGCCAGCAGCCGCGGUAAUACGUAGGGUGCGAGCGUUGUCCGGAAUUACUGGGCGUAAAGAGCUCGUAGGUGGUUUGUCGCGUCGUUUGUGUAAGCCCGCAGCUUAACUGCGGGACUGCAGGCGAUACGGGCAUAACUUGAGUGCUGUAGGGGAGACUGGAAUUCCUGGUGUAGCGGUGAAAUGCGCAGAUAUCAGGAGGAACACCGAUGGCGAAGGCAGGUCUCUGGGCAGUAACUGACGCUGAGGAGCGAAAGCAUGGGUAGCGAAC
rnacentral:rRNA from 1 species